ACGAACGCUGGCGGCGUGCUUAACACGUGCAAGUCGAACGCUGAAGCUCAGCUUUUGUUGGGUGGAUGAGUGGCGAACGGGUGAGUAACACGUGAGUAACCUGCCUCCUUCUUUGGGAUAACGCCCGGAAACGGGUGCUAAUACUGGAUAUUCACUGGUCUUCGCAUGGGGGUUGGUGGAAAGGGUUUUUCUGGUGGGGGAUGGGCUCGCGGCCUAUCAGCUUGUUGGUGGGGUGAUGGCCUACCAAGGCUUUGACGGGUAGCCGGCCUGAGAGGGUGACCGGUCACAUUGGGACUGAGAUACGGCCCAGACUCCUACGGGAGGCAGCAGUGGGGAAUAUUGCACAAUGGGCGCAAGCCUGAUGCAGCGACGCCGCGUGAGGGAUGGAGGCCUUCGGGUUGUGAACCUCUUUCGCUCAUGGUCAAGCCGCAACAAUGGUUGUGGUGAGGGUAGUGGGUAAAGAAGCGCCGGCUAACUACGUG
rnacentral:rRNA from 1 species